rnacentral:miRNA from 1 species
CAGCACCUAGAAAGUUAAGACCAUUUAUUUAGUUAGUUCAUAAACACUUAGACAGUGCUUGCUAUGUGCCAGGAAUUGUUCUAGGUGCUUUG